CCAGCUGGCCGAGAUGGAGGCUGAGAGGGACAGCGCAACCUUGAGGGCCAGGCAGCUGCAGAAGGUGGUGGCUGAGAGUGAGGAAGGGACCUGCUGCAGCUGGGAGGGGAGCUGGCCAGGACAUCAUGAGCUGUCCAGGAGGCGGGCCUGGGACUGAGCACAGGCCUACGGCUGGCAGAGAGCUGGGCCGAGGCAGCCCUGGAGAAGCAGGCCCUGCUGCAGGCCCAGCUGGAGGAGCAGCUGCGGGACAAGGUGCUCCGCGAGAAGGACCUGGCCCAGCAGCAGAUGCAAAGCGACCUGGACAAGGCUGACCUCAGUGCCAGAGUGACAGACCUGGGCCUGGCAGUGGGGCAUCUUCAGAAGCAGAAUCUGGAGAAGGAUCAGGUCAACCAGGACCUCACCGAGAAGCUUGAGGCUCUGGUGAGCUGCAGCUGCCCCUGAGAUGUGGCAGGGUGGGAUGGGGUACCGGCCAGAUCCAUGGCAGCACUGGGGGAGGUGCCUGAAAAGCACAAAAGCAGGCAUUGCAGCCCCAUGGUGUCGCCCACCUUGGUGGAGAGUUAGGAUUGAGCUUCUGUGUGAGCUCUUUGGAACGGUCUUCCUGACCCCUAACCAGUUUGGGGCCUGGGACUUGGCACGUGGCUGGCACGUGCCAAAUGGGAAGGGAGGCUGGGUGUGGUGGCACACGCCUGUAGUCCUAACUACUCGGGAGGCUGAGGCAGGA